GAGAACGCACUUCCAGACUAUCAAUCAUGCAUGCCCAUAUCAUUUGCUUUGCUUAAUGUUUCUUAGUUUAACUUACUAAUCUCUUGUCUGUGUAAUUUUUGCUGCCAGAAGGGAUCCCAAUAGGUUGCAACUGGGAGUAAAAUAUGUGUCUAAACUGAUUGUCUGGUGCGAAAAUCGACGACCAAGAUCCAGUUAUGUGUAUUGUAGGACAACACCUUUCAUUAGAUACACUUUGAUGCUAUUUCUAGCAUGAAUUUCUAUUUCAGACUUAGAACUAAAAUUCUGAACAACUAAAAUCGCUCUUGUUCCUUAUUUUUGUAGGGCGGUUCCUCUCGUUUUACUGGUUCGUCCGCUCCUUCAUGAUUGAUGUACUGGUUCUGGCCGCUCCUUCGUGAUAGACUCGGUUAACUCUUUGUUGGCCUUGUGGGUCGUAAUUGUUUCUCUCCAUAUGCAUAUACUUCCUUAUGUAUUGCUCAUGCUCAUUCUGUACCGAGAUAGACCUAAUAUCCGUAGGGUUGUAGAUUGAUUUCCCCUGAAAAAGCUAUGCUUCUUUCCUUGGAUGAUAAGCAUGUUCCGCAGCUAUGUGGAAUUCUUAAGAUAAACGGUCUUUAGUUUCUUUUGGUGCAUCUGCGUGCACAUAACAGUCUGUUAGUUUCUCAGUCUGUUAGUUUCUCUUUAUAUAAUGAAAAAAUAUAUGUUGUUGUCGCUUGUUUAUUAUUAUCUAUCAUUUGUAUAUUGAUUUUUAGGCCACCAGUACUUGUAUGUAUAAUUUCUAGUCUCUUGAAUGAAUAAUUUUUCUUUAUGUGCCAUGCGUCUUGUGUUACUACAUACAUCUGUCGUGAAGUACAUGGUUCUGGAACUAUGGUAACCCGUAGUUUGCUCUACCCGUGAUAGUAGGAUGAUGGAAGCAUCACUACUGAAUGUAGUUCAUGUUUCUUCGUAUAAUCAUCAUUUACUAGAGUUUCUCUUCUUCUUGCUACUACUUGGUUUUUGACGCCACUAGCUUGUACUGAAAUGUAAACACAUCAUAUUGUUCUCAUCAGACCAGUGUACCUUGAGCAUGCAAAGUAAACACAUGCUACUCCACUUGUCUAUUUUUACAUAAACUUUUGUUUAAAUAAACCGAGCUAAUAAACCAAACGGUGCAAACACAUUCAGUUCUGAAAUUUUUCUACUCCACUUGUUUGAUUGUACUGAAACCUUUGUUUGCAUGUUUCUAAAAUGCAGAGAAGAACACCCUGUGUUCUGGUAAAAUAUUUGUUUGCUAUGAUAUGAAAUUCCAUGAUGUGUGUGUUGUUUUAGUUUCUGUAGCUACAACAAAGUCCUAGUUUACUCUAUACUUGCUUUUGAUGAUUGCUGGCUAAAUUUACAGUUGAAAUAAUAGUAGCCAAGGAGUAGAUACAAGACGUAUUUACCAUAUUUUGCAUGGAAUGUUAAAAAUCAGUUUUGUUGUGGUUUCUUGUUCUGUGAGUCAAAUUGCAUAAGAUGGGAGUAUCACAACAUGCAUAUACUGAAGCUGGGAGUAUCACAACCUGAAUGUGCAUCUUAUGUAGUUUCUGUAUUUUUGUUAAAGCAUGGAGUAGCUUCUAUAGUUUCUGUAUUUUUGUUAAAGCAUGGAGUAGCUUCUAUAGUUUCUGUAUUUCUGUAUUUUCGUUAAAGCAUGGAGUAGCUUCUAUAGCUUCCUCACAAGUUAAUGCUUCGCUCGUCCGGGUGUGUGAUAAUGCCAUUUGUCUUGUGCAAUCAGAUUACAUUUCUGUUUGUUAUGGUAAUAUAAAAAAUAUUCGUGCUGUCAAAAUUUUCACAGUGCGUGUCUUUCAUUUCUUUAAUUUGAUUGUUUCCCUUGUAUUCAAUAUGCUUCUAGUGGCUGAUCCUUCCAUUUUUGUUGUGGCAUCUUUAUUUUCACAGGUGUUGUGUGUUCUGGAAGAUGGAAGAGGAAGAAAUUGUUGAACUAAAUUUUUUUGUAUUCUGUUUUGUUGUAUGUAUCGUUUGAUAGUUUUGUAUAGGAACAAGUGAUACUAUUUUGUAGGGCUUUAUGGCCUAUGAUGUAAACAUAUUUAGUGCUGAAAUAUGAAAUUAUUUGCAAAAUUUGUCAAAAAGGUGGAUCAUAUGUAUGAAUAUGUGAAUGGGCUGAAAAGAGUAAUGGACCAACUCCAGGAUUGAAUUAAUAUUUGAAUGUAUAAAAAGGCCGAAUGUAAA
rnacentral:lncRNA from 1 species